CAUUAAGUGACUGAAAGUAAGUAAUGGUCUCUUAAACCAAAGCAUGGUAACUGACAACUACCCUUAAUGA
rnacentral:tRNA from 1 species